ACCGUAUGGUGUAUCGUGAGCGGCUUGUCAUUCAUAUCUGGAAAACAACCAAACUUAUAAGAGGAAUAAAUAUCAGUUUUAACACGUGUACGUUUUUAUAUCGAUACGUGGAUAUGGAGUGACGUGGAAUCUUCUGAAUUUGACGCAGUGCUAGCUUUACCCUGUUGGAGAUGGAAGAGCAACGAGUCUCUGAGAUACACCAGGGAACACCGUGCCUUCUGUCUACUGGCUUGUGGAUCCAUCCUGAAACCCCUGAGUUGAUGAUGCCAUAUUCCCAUCAUAAGCCUCAUGAAAAGAAGACAACAUAACCACUGGGGGAGGAGGAGAAGAGGAGGUGGACGAGUGGGAGCUGCUCUGCAGGAGGAUGAGACAUGGUUGCAGGAGUGAACUCAGAGCAGGUGAACACAGCUGUUCAUCGCCAUGGGCUCUCUCUCUCUCUCUCUCUCUCUCUCUCUCUCUCUCUCUCUCUCUCUGUCUCUCUCACCCUCUCUCCCCUCCACUCCUCCUGUGGGCUCCUGCGCUGCAUCUGCGGGGUCUCUCUCUCUCUCCGGCUGGGGCGCCGGCCGGCCCGGGGAGCCGCGGAGGAGGCGGGAGGAGGUGGGCUGGCUCUCCCCGCCGGCGAAGCCCGCGCCACGGCAGCAGCAGCCGCAGCGAGGAGCGCGGAGCGCGGAGUGCCAGGAAAUCAAUACGGAGGAGAGAGGCUGCCAGGGGUCGCCCAGCACAGCCCACGGCCAUGGAGCCCUGGGACCCCCCACCAGCUCGCCAAGCCGAGCCGCACCGCGCUCUCCUCCUCCUCCUUUCUCUCCUGGCCUGCUCCCAGUCUGUGCACAUCAGGCAGGGGCUGGUGUCUGAUGGUCUCCCUCUUCAACUCCCCUCACUCACACUGUGUGUGUGUGUGUGUGUGUGUGUGUGUGUGGGGGGAGGUAUGUGUGUGUGUGAGAGAGAGCGAGUUUGUGUGUGGUUCUGCCGGAGGGACUUUACUGGCCCAACACCACUUGAUAAAACUUUGUCUGCCAGAGAAGGAAUAGAAAAAGAAUGUCAAAGGUCUUUUUUUUUUUUUUCAUUUAUUUCCACUGUGAGCAUCCACCAUUUCCCACAACUGUUUGAAUGAGCAUUCAGUGGAGGUCCCAUUAAGAUUGCGUCAAAAGACUGAUAUUUUUUUUCUUCCUCUUUCCCAAUAUGCGCAGAGCGGUGCCUAGCAGACCAGCCUGGAUAGUCAUUAAAAAACAAUCUACAUUUUUUUUAAACAUUUCCUAUUACAUCUUAUCCUGAGAACAUUUAGCCGCACUUCUGUUGGUGUCUGACCUAAUUUUUAUGUCUCAAAAUAUCUGUGGAAGACAACUACCAGACCAUUAUUAUAUUUUUCAGCAAAGAAGCACUAAUGGACUUACUGAUGUUUUUGUGUCAUGAUCUGCUGGAUAUUUUCACGAACCUUUUUUAUGAUGGAUCACCAAGGCACCAAGUGAAAAAGGAGGAGACUUUUUUUGAAACUGACUGAAAGACUGCCAUGUGCACUGCUUCUAAAAAGAGAUACAAAAGUUCUUUGCUAAACCAGUGAGGGUACAGCGUCUCCGAAUGUCUGUGCCAGAACUGCAGGAGACUGCAGAGGUGGACCGAACAGGGACACUCCGAACCAACACAAUGGCCAUCAUCCAAUAUGACGCUGGGAACACAUGGGAGAAGCCAUGCAGAUAUUAAAUGUGCCCCAUACCCAACAGCUGAUGCACCCAGCCUGUGUUUCAGGAGUUCAUGUCCUCUGCUUAAAGUGCGGACAAAAAUUGGAGACCAUGGGAUGAUCACACACUUGAUUGUCUUCACACAGGGUUAUCAUAUAGAUGUUUUGAUUCUCAAAAGGUAAGUAAGGUAUUUGUUGGUAAGUUUGAAUUGUGUAUUGUUAUUAUUAUUGGUAUUAUCCUCCUUCAAGUGUGGCUGUAGUGUUGCCAUCACAUUAUAGGAGACCAUAAUUUUAACAUCAAAGGCAAAAAUGUUCCUUAAAAUGUUGUGUGUUACCAGGAAAUUGUAGUUCUUGAGAAAAUGAGUAAUUUCUAUUUCAGUAGUGCUUUGUUGAUUCAUGCCAAGCUAGACAUUCAAGACAUCUCUGUAAAUGAAUAUGCUAAAAUACUCAUACAGAAAGCAUAUUGUUUCUU